UUGUACAUCUUUGGGUUUUCUUCAUAGAAGAGAGGGAGAAAGUAAGAAACAAAAGGAACGGUGCUACCUGAAAUCAUUAUGAUAGUAAUUAUGCAAUUUUAACAUUAUGCAUCUGUCAGCAUUAGGACGUGUCUUUCAGGAGGAAGAACCUGAGUAGGUAUAUUUUGAACAUGAGUGUUAUACGAAAAUGUUCAGUUCUACAAAGUUCCAUAUUGACAUUUCCUCUUAAAAAUAUUUCGGUUAUUAUGCAGCGUAGUUUUCAUUUGGAUUGGGCAAUUUAUUCUUCCACAACCACAUUCUGAAUUUUUGUACUAAAGAAGAUGUUUCUGAGCUCACAGAUUCUCUGUGAGCUAAUGAGGAGCUGGAGGUGUCUGAUAAUGGUAGCAAUAGCAGCUAUGUGAGGAAAGAAGUGGGUAAAAGAAAGCAUGGAGGUGAGAGCUUCCACAGUUGUAAUGCAAACAAUGGACUGAAGGCCCAGCAGAGCAGAAGAGGUGGAAAUGGUCUUUGGUGACAAAUUCUAACUUGUAAAAGUGCCAGAUUGUGACAUAAACCAAAGUGAAUCUAGAGCAACAAUAGCUCCACAAGGCCUGGUGUCAAACCAGCCUGCGUGAGGGAGAAGAGUGCUGGGAUCCUGGCAUCUCCCAAAGGUGUUAGAAAAGGGAAACAAUUUGUAUAAAUACAGGAAUUCAACACCAGAAACAAAAUACUGACCUAAUCAGUGAAAUGAGCAUCGAAAUCAGUCUUUGUGCUGAAGUUGGAAGGGUCUGGCAUAUCAAAUAGAGAAAGAAUAUCUUCAGGAAUAUGCCAGAAGCUAAUUGGUUUAAGAAAUCUGGCUGUAUAUAGAGACCAUUACUCAUAGAUAUCACGUUUUUCUAUUGCACAAAUUAUCUACAGUGAUCAUGGUGUCUGCUCAAGGAAAAGUUUAUUUUCCUUCAGUCUUUUCUUUUCCCCUGACCUCAAAGGACUAAUUAACAAAGUAUUAGCAUGUUUCUAAAAUAUGACUGAAUUCAUCCUCUUAAGAAAAUGCACUGAAGAAUGUACCCUGUUAUUAGAAAUGACAGGAUGUAUAUAGGGCCAUAUGUUUUCAAAGGGUUUUCUGUCAGUGUUAAUCAAAACGCUGGAGAACUUAUGAACAUACAGAGCAGCACGUCAACCAUAUGGAUAAUAUCUUCUCUUUAAUAGUGAGAAUUUGAAUUAAUAAUAAACACUGGAGAGUAACUUAGAAUGAGACAGAAACAAUAAUAUUAAGACCAGUGCAAGCAUAACAUCAUAUCAGUCUGAAGACUGCCGAGUAUUUUAAAAAAUCUCAUUGUGGAUUAAAUUCUGAUCAUGGAACUACAUUCAUUAAUUUUUAGUAAUUUAGCAUGGAAAGGUAACUCCAAAAAUGCCAUUUAGACUUGCUGGUUUUUGUAAAGGACAGAAUUUGUCUCUUAUAGCGUGUUCUAGUAAACACCAGUGUCACGUGCUGGUCUGAAUGCUGGAGGUACAUCCAUUGUUACAGUCUACUUGUUAUUGUAAAGGCAUUGGGAUAUUUGUUUGAUGAAACGUGCAUGCACAAAUCAUUUCACGGACUGUGCAAGCAGAUGCAGGAAGAAAGUGGAAAAGAAAGUUCCUAAGUCAGCUAACCUGAAAAAUGGAUUGAGACUCCAUUAUUUUCAAUUACCCUCUGAGGACUUACCAUCAUGGACUUACCUGUUUUUACAGAUGGUGGCUCUCCUAGCUAAAUGUUAAGUUCUAUUUUUGCUGUUACCAGCCUGGCUUUAUUUUGUCCUUAGUUAAAAACAAAGUUACAUUUAGAAGUUUGACUGCUGGUACUGAGACCCAGAGCCUUUCUCUGCUGGUAAGCACCAUCCAGCCUUCGCAGGGUGAAAAUCCGCAUCUUCUAUCAGAGACCACAAGAAGAGGAAAUACAACAUUCGGCCUUUGAAACUAUAAGGUGAGACCUCCCUAUUACAUAGGGAUAGAUCUUAUUGGUAACUAUCCAUCUGCAUCACUUACCCAGCCUAAGAGAGAUGAUAUUUUCUUUGAAAUUUCUAUUUUAUUUUUCCCUUGAGUCCAUUCUGGUUUUCAGACUUCCUCUGUUGCUGGUUAAGAAGUGUGUAACUAUGGACAGCACCUUUUGACUGUGACGUGGUUCUUGCACCUGCUCUUUGCUUUGUUUUUGCAGUAGCCACAGGAGACCAAUGGCAAGGAGCAGAGCUCUUCCUUCCCUCUGUGCUAUUCCAUCAUCUCCUGUAAUUUUGCUGUCAGCAUUUGUUCUGCUACACGACAGCCUGUGACUGUCCUGCAGACCUCAGGGGAGCAUCUCUGAUGCCCACGAGCCCCAAGGAAUCACAUUGCCUUGCAGCCACUGCACAGCCACGAAAACCAGCUGAAAACAAAACCGAGCCUCUUCGGGACAGAGACAUUCUUGCUCAGCACUGGAACUUCUGGAGAUGAUAAACAUGAGCAGCCCAUCCCCAGCUCCAUCCUGAGCACCUUCAGCACUGGCACUCAGCACCUCCGAAUUGUGCGCAUCCAAUGCCAGCUCUCCACCAUAUCAAAAGAACAAUGUAUUUGCU